CCCAGGUGAAACUUCCUUCUUCGCGAACGCGAGGAGCACUAAAAUCCAUUGACCACUUAUUCCUCCUUCGCGAACACGACAUACUCCACGCUAACACGAUGCUUCCACCCUCCAAGCCUUCGCGAACGCGACUGAACCUAAGCUAACGCAAAGCACAAAAUCCUGGGGACCCAGCCGCUCCAACUACUCUACGCGAACGCGGGACCAACAUCGCAAACGCGAAGGGCAAUUCUCCUGCCUCGCUUCACAUCCCUUCGCGAACGCGAGAGCCCUCUCGCGAACGCAAAGGCCAAAUAUCUGCAACACUGAACUGAAGAAAUCUGCAACUUUCAAAACAAGAAUUUGAUCCGUUUAACCACCCGAAACUCACCCAAGGCCCUCGGGACCUCAACCAAACAUGCCAACACAUCCCAUAACAUCAUUCAAACUUGUUCCAACCUUUGGAACGCUCAAAACAACAUCAAAACAUCAAAUGAUCAUCGGAUUCAAGCCUAAGAAAUUCCAAAACUUUCAAAUUACGCUUUCGAUCAAAAAGUCUAUCAAACCUCGCCCGAAUGACCUGAAAUUUUGCACACACGUCCCAAAUGACACAACGGACCUACUUCAACUUCUGGAAUUCCAUUCCGACCCCUAUAUCAAAAUCUCCA
rnacentral:lncRNA from 1 species